AUACGGAGGGUGCAAGCGUUACUCGGAAUCACUGGGCGUAAAGCGCGCGCAGGCGGUCUUUUAAGUUGGAUGUGAAAGCCUACGGCUCAACCGUAGAACUGCAUCCAAAACUAUUUAGCUAGAGUGUGGGAGAGGAAGAUGGAAUUAGUUGUGUAGGGGUAAAAUCCGUAGAGAUAACUAGGAAUACCAAAAGCGAAGGCAAUCUUCUGGAACACUACUGACGCUGAGGCGCGAAAGCGUGGGGAGCAAACAGAAUUAGAAACCCCAGUAGUCC
rnacentral:rRNA from 1 species